GUGUAAACUGAUCUGGUGCAAUUCAGAUAGAAUAUAUUCUAGGACUGGUGCCUUCUUCAACUCAUGCAAAUAAAAGUGCAGCAUGGUCCAAAGUACUGGAGUCAUGAGAAGUUCAGCUAAGGAUGAUCAUCCUAACCUUCCUGGCCUGGGGCUGAUCAGAAUGUUUCCAAAGAAAAGUGAGGAGCAGAGACAAGCAAAUAAACAACGCUUCUUCUCUGUGAGUGAAGUUAAAAGGCUCCAAGGGCAAAUGUCUGGCUCAUGAAACGUCUUGUUGUGGAUGAAGUUCGUUUUAUAUGUGUGCCGUGCUCUCCUGUGUAAAUUGAUACCAGAAGGUCAAGAGAGAGCAAAAGAGCAAGAGGACGCUGGGGUCCUUGAGGGCUGCGAUGUCGGGAAAGGAGGAAGAACGACACAGACAGAGAAGGCUGGAAGCUAAGGGAACUUUCAAAGGCUCUACAACUUUGCAUAAAUUGUGCAUUCAUAUUUACACGUACUUUCAUGUGCAUAUGUAAUAUCUCUGUAUUAUACAAUAUGCCCCAUAUUCACGUAGGCAGGAGAUAAAUAGAACAUCUGCACUAAACUGGUCUUGUAGCGGCUACAGAGUUUUCAUGUUUUAGGAUUUGUUUGCUUGUUAUGGCUGUUAUAUAAUUUUUCGUGACCUCACAUAAAGACUCUGUGCUUCUUACAAAGGAGUCUCAAGUAAUUAAUCUAGGACUCUCCGGAUACAAAGCAUACAAAUAGGUAAGACUCUGCCUACAAACUUCCUUCCUUCUUUCCUUCAUCUUUCCUUCCUUCCUUCACCCUUCCUCCCUUUGUCUUUUUUCCCUUCCUCCCUUUCUUUUCCUUUCUCCUGCUCUCUCUUCUCCUUCAUCCUCCUCCUCUUUCUUCUUCCUCUUCCUCUUCCUCUCUCUCUCUCUCGCAGGCUUGCGUGCACAGGUGCAUCUGAGAUGUGUUCGAUUAGGCAGUUUUCUUCUUUCUAGCUUAGUAGUAAAGACUGGGCAUCAUUUCCUGCCCUGUUGUACUUAGGGAAAGGCACUGAUUUCAGCAUUUCUGUUGGGGGCCAGAAUUUGGACGUAUCAAGUUGCCAUGAAUAAAAAUAAUGCAAAAGAAGGCA
rnacentral:lncRNA from 1 species